GGCUGGGGGUGGCAUAAUACAUGCAAGUCGAGCGAACUGAUUAGAAGCUUGCUUCUAUGACGUUAGCGGCGGACGGGUGAGUAACACGUGGGCAACCUGCCUGUAAGACUGGGAUAACUUCGGGAAACCGAAGCUAAUACCGGAUAGGAUCUUCUCCUUCAUGGGAGAUGAUUGAAAGAUGGUUUCGGCUAUCACUUACAGAUGGGCCCGCGGUGCAUUAGCUAGUUGGUGAGGUAACGGCUCACCAAGGCAACGAUGCAUAGCCGACCUGAGAGGGUGAUCGGCCACACUGGGACUGACACACGGCCCAGACUCCUACGGGAGGCAGCAGUAGGGAAUCUUCCGCAAUGGACGAAAGUCUGACGGAGCAACCCCGCGUGAGUGAUGAAGGCUUUCGGGUCGUAAAACUCUGUUGUUAGGGAAGAACAAGUACCAGAGUAACUGCUCGUACCUUGACGGUACCUAACCAGAAAGCCACGGCUAACUACGUGCCAGCAGCCGCGGUAAUACGUAGGUGGCAAGCGUUAUCCGGAAUUAUUGGGCGUAAAGCGCGCGCAGGCGGUUUCUUAAGUCUGAUGUGAAAGCCCACGGCUCAACCGUGGAGGGUCAUUGGAAACUGGGGAACUUGAGUGCAGAAGAGAAAAGCGGAAUUCCACGUGUAGCGGUGAAAUGCGUAGAGAUGUGGAGCAACACCAGCGGCGAAGGCGGCUUUUUGGUCUGUAACUGACGCUGAGGCG
rnacentral:rRNA from 2 species